rnacentral:rRNA from 1 species
UAAAGGUUCAUCGCUGAUAGAUAGGCAUGCGUUCCAUUAGGCAGUUGGCGGGGUAACGGCCCACCAAACCGACGAUGGAUAGGGGUUCUGAGAGGAAGGUCCCCCACAUUGGUACUGAGACAUGGACCAAACUCCUACGGGAGGCAGCAGUGAGGAAUAUUGGUCAAUGGGCGCGAGCCUGAACCAGCCAAGUCGCGUGAGGGAUGAAGGUUCUAUGGAUCGUAAACCUCUUUUAUAAGGGAAUAAAGUGUGGGACGUGUCCUAUUUUGUAUGUACCUUAUGAAUAAGGAUCGGCUAACUCCGUGCCAGCAGCCGCGGUAAUACGGAGGAUCCGAGCGUUAUCCGGAUUUAUUGGGUUUAAAGGGUGCGUAGGCGGCCUUUUAAGUCAGCGGUGAAAGUCUGUGGCUCAACCAUAGAAUUGCCGUUGAAACUGGGGGGCUUGAGUAUGUUUGAGGCAGGCGGAAUGCGUGGUGUAGCGGUGAAAUGCUUAGAUAUCACGCAGAACCCCGAUUGCGAAGGCAGCCUGCCAAGCCAUGACUGACGCUGAUGCACGAAAGCGUGGGGAUCAAACAGGAUUAGAUACCCUGGUAGUCCACGCAGUAAACGAUGAUCACUAGCUGUUUGCGAUACAGUGUAA